rnacentral:rRNA from 1 species
GACGAACGCUGGCGGCGUGCCUAAUACAUGCAAGUCGAACGCAGUGGGGACGGGUGCGUAACACGUGGGUAACCUCCCAUCAGAGGGGAUAACCCUUGGAAACAGGUGCUAAACCGCUACUGAUGGAUGGACCCGCGGUGCAUUAGGGAGUUGGUGAGGUAACGGCUCACCAAGGCCACGAGGCAUAGCCGACUUGAGAGGGUGACCGCCCACACGGGGACGGAGACACGUCCCAGACCCCUCCGGAGGGCAGCAGUAGGGAAUCUUCGGCAAUGGACGAAAGUCUGACCGAGCAACGCCGGGGGAGUGAAGAAGGUUUUCGGAUCGUAAAACUUUGUUGUUAGAGAAGCGGUAUCUAACCAGAAAGCCACGGCUAACUACUGGCAAGCAGCCGCGUAAUAC